GGGAACCAGACUCAGAUCUUCUAAAAGCACUCUUAACUUCAGAACCACUUCUCCCAACUCCAUACAUGUUUUUUUAAGUGAAUUUUUUAAGUCUGAAUCUGAAGUAGUCAACCUAUAAAUUUCUAUAUCAAAAUGUUUCAGUUGAUAAGCCUGUUUAAACCUUGUCUGUUUCUUUGUUUUGAGACAGUCUCUCUGUGUAGCUCUGGAUGUCCCAGAACUAGCUGUGUAUACCAGGCUGGUCUCGAACUCACAGAGAUCCGCCUGCCACUGCCUCCUGAAUGCUGGGAUUAAAGGUGUGCACCACCACCACCCAGUCCCUUGUAUGUUCCUUUCAUUGUCUAAGUAGGAAUGGAAAAUUACCCUCAACCCAUGUCAGUUUUAACUAGUGUUUGCCAUUUUUGCAGCCUCUCCUCUUAAAAAUAAUGAUGAAGGCUCAUUGGACAUUUAUGCUGGGUUGGACAGUGCUGUUUCUGACAGUACUGCUAAAUCCUGCGUAUCAUUCAAAAACUGUUUAGAUUUGUACGAAGAGAUCCUGACUGAAGAAGGAACUGCAAAGGAAGCAACCUACAAUGACUUGCAGAUAGAAUAUGGCAAAUGUCAGGUGCAAAUGAAAGAGCUGAUGAAAAGGUUUAAGGAAAUACAGACACAGAACUUGAACUUAAAAAAUGAAAACCAGUCUCUUAAGAAGAAUAUCUCAGCACUGAUCAAAACUGCCAGAGUGGAGAUAAACCGUAAGGAUGAAGAGAUAAAUCAUCUUCACCAAAGGUAUCACUGUGGGUGUCACCUGCCACCAUUCACAUGAAGUAUGUUUUAUUUUCAAAGGAUGGAAUAUGUAUUUUAUUAAAUAGUUACAGUUCUAAUGUAAAUAGCAACUACUCUGCUAAUGAUUUGUAAUGAUAACUGUGCUUACUGAUGGAACAUUGCCACACACUUCCAAAUAUAUAGUUUUCCAAAUCA